rnacentral:lncRNA from 1 species
CCUGAUGACUCAGAGAUUAACACAAGUGGAUUCUAAUCUCUCAGACUGAGAGUGGUAGCUUUGCUGUGGAACAAAGGGAGGGUAUUUGUGCUCCAAACUGCAGACCAAGGAGAAGACAGAGCAGCUUCCUGCUGGCAGAUGGAUCUCUCCCUCAAUUUGUAUUGAGUGACCACAAAAAAUAAAAGCACUGAUUCCCCACCAAAGAUAAAUUGAAC